rnacentral:lncRNA from 1 species
AGCAGCUCCAGGUUGUGGGUGCUCGGCAGAGCUGGUGGCUCCCUGAGCCAUCCCGGGCUCCCAGCACGGAUCACCUGGGCAUGGGGGCACAGUGGGGCUCCCCCAGGCACAGACACCCCCUCUGCCUUUUGGGGAAGAAGAGUUUUCCCUGGGGACUCCAUCCCACAGCAGGGCUGGCAGUGAGAAUCCCUGAGACUGGCAGAUGUCGUCUCCCUUUCAUCUAGGACUUUGCUGUUCACUACAGUUACAGAAACCACGAGGCUGAAAGAGGGGAGGAAAAAAGAAGAGAUUAAAUUAAUGAGCAGGCUCAGCAGGGAAGAGGCAGAGCAGGAGCGUCCCAGGGAGCCACGGCAGGAGGAAGAAGAGGAAGAAGAGGAGGGUGGAGGAACAAGUCCUGGCACUGGGUCCUUCCCACCAAGGGUGUUCUUCCCAUUUUCCCAGGAAUGUGGCUGUGCCUGCUGUUUAAGGGAAGCCUGGUUAUUUUCCCUCCAAAGCAGAGCAGGAUCAUUUUCCCCUGCCCCUGUGACAGACCAUUGGGCAUUACUGAAUCCAUCAUUUCCCCUCUUGUCUCCACUCACGUUCCCUUCCUUCCCAAAGCCUGGGAAGACCCUUGCUCACAGCUGUGGCUUUAGCAUCCCAGAAAUUCCAGCACUUGCUUCAACUUCUGUGAGAAUUUAAGUGUUUCUGCAUCCUUACCAAUGGGCAGUGAUAGGCAGAGCCCCAGCUCAGCAUCUCCUGGGGAGCAAAGCGAGCUGGUUCUGCAGAUGGGAUUUGUUCAGUGAUUUGUUUAGGAG